AACGAACGCUGGCGGCAGGUUUUAGGCAUGCAAGUCGAACGGGACGAAAGUCCAGUGGCGCACGGGUGAGUAACACGUGGGAAUCUACCUUUUAAUGGGGAAUAGCCAGCAGAAAUGCUGGGUAAUACCGCAUAAGCCCUUCGGGGGAAAGACGUAAGUCGUUGAAAGAUGAGCCCGCGCAAGAUUAGCUUGUUGGUGAGGUAAAAGCUCACCAAGGCAACGAUCUUUAGCUGGUCUGAGAGGACGAUCAGCCACACUGACAUUGAGAUACGGGUCAGAGUCCUACGGGGGGCAGCAGGUAAGAAUUUUGGACAAUGGGGGAAACCCUGAUCCAGCCAUGCCGCGUGAAUGAUGAAGGCCCUCGGGUUGUAAAGUUCUUUAGUCCGGGAAGAUAAUGACGGUACCGGAAGAAUAAGCACCGGCUAACUUCGUGCCAGCCGCCGCGGUAA
rnacentral:rRNA from 1 species